UCCCAUACACCUGGUGACUAGGAAGUAGAUUCUAGUCUGAUCCCCAUUGUGCAGGUUGGGAGACUGGGGAGGCCCUGAGAGGCACAGAGUUUUCCAGGACAGAGAACUGGUAAGGAGGUGUGAACUCAGCUCUGUCUCCUCGAAGCUAGGACCCUAGUUCCAUUUCCAGGGAGCUGUGGCUAGGGCUGUGCUGGCUCAUUGUGUAGUUAAGAAGAGGACAUGGGGAGGAGGGUGAGCAGUAACAGCUUGUGGUGGGGAGGAGGUGGCUUUGGGUAAGUAUGUUUGAAGGAAGGGGACCAGGUAACAGAAUCUUCAAAAAUUGACGUCACUUCCUGGUGAUAGGCCCCAACAGAACUUAGAACUCUGGUCACCAGGUACCCAGAGCCCCCUAUCCAACUCAUUUGGCCAGAGACAUUCCAGAGAACAAGGUAUUCUGCUGUUGUGUCCAGACUUUCAGAGGCUCUGGGCUGAAGAAAGCCCAGAGUGAGAGGUUUUUCUAUUGCUGUAGAUGUGGGCUCAGCCCUCAUCCCUGAUGCCACUGGCCAUUUGGCAGGAGGUACCCAAAGAACUCCACUCAGGAGAUCAUCGAGAAGCUGGCCAAUGGGUUCAAUUACUCCAACUCCCUGGACAAGUGGCAGGUGCCCCAGGCCACCAACCUCAUCCAGUGAUUGUCUGAGGUGAGAACGGGUGCAGAGUGGUCUCCACACCCAAGAACCUGAGAUGAUCAUGUUGGGCCCAGAACUCAGAGUCAAAUCUAGGGGCUCCCCUGGGGCCCUCCCAGGCUUUUCCACAUGAGUGUCCCACAGGCAUGCUCCCAAAGGAAUCUGGACCUCCACAUGUAACCCACCCACUAUGUGGCAGGGUAGAAAUACACUCUUCACAUAUUUGUUGGAAUAAUAGAGAAAAUAUUCAACGUUGUUUUCCCUUUUCAGGAGGCCAUGAGUACGUUAGCCUUUGGCUACUGUUUUACUGUUCUGAUGACCCGCCCCAGGUAUCCUGUGGAGCAGUCAGCUCCACUCUCUUUGAAGACCUUCUCCCAGGCUUACGAACCAUUGAACUUGAUAGGGUGGUUUAUGCACAGAGUGGGGGCGGGAUUGAUUCUAUACAGUUCUCUGCAACUUGUCAUCUUACAGUAAACAUCAAAUCUUUGCUGGCCUGUCAUGUCAGGAGCUGUGGCCUCAUGUGACUUCAUAAUAUCCCAUAAAGGAAGUCAAUUGCCACCACCAUUCAGCCUUUCAAUUGUUGUUAGACCUUGGCAUGAUUCAAUUCUGUUGCCAUUUCAGCAAUGCUACAGGGAACAUCUUAAGCGUGUCCUAAUAGAUUGUAUUAGUUUGCCAGGUCUGCCAUAACAUAGGGCCACUUCCACUGUGGAAGGCUCCUGAUGCCUUCUGGCUCAGUGACAAGCCCUGUCUUUAUAGAGCUCCACCCAGGAUGUCCUGGAGGAGCUGGUCGAUGGGUUCAACUAUUCCAUCUUCCCGGACAACGGGCAGGUGCAUCAGGUGACCUAAAACAGGCAACACUGGUCUGGGGUAAGUGUGGGCACAUAGGGGUCUCCACAUUCAGGACCCCAAGAUGACUGGGGUGGACCCAGAACCCAGACUGGAAUCUGGUGACUCCCCUGGGGUCCUCCCAGGAAUAUGGUUUUCCCAGAGCCUUCCCCUUCGUGUCAGGAACAGGCCAAGGUAAUUGAGAGGGAAUGUCAUGAAGCCAAUGCUACGUGCUAUUCUCAGAUCUGACCUGUGUGAUCUUCAGCAGCCACUUGAAAUCCUUAACCAUCUGUUUCCCAAUAUCUACAGUGGGGAAGUUUGUUGAUGACUCAUUGGGAUAAUGCUCUUAACACAGGCUGUUAAUACAGGGAGGUGCCAUUGUUUCUCAGCUGACAAAAUGCCUUGAAGUUAUAUCAUUCACUCCAAAAUCAAAUGAUACCUUUAAAGCCUAGAAUCUUUAUCUGUGUGGGCAUUCAUAUCCCUCCUCUUGCCCAAGUUCCUGGGGUGGUGGGAGUUUCCAGUCUGAGCUCCAGACACUAAUCCUCCUCAUGGCUCAUGGUGAUGCCACUGACUCCAUAUCCCACCUUGUCCCCUUGAUGUGAAAAGGAGUCGGUCAUGUCCCAAGGUGAGGCCUGCAUGAUGCUGACCCCCAAGGCAGGCACAAUGGAGAAGGUGGCAGAGUCUCUGGUACCAGCCUUCCUGGAUAGAAACAUCUCCUACAUCACCACCUUCCCACGUGUGUAUCUGGCCUUCGCCACCACCCAACAGGUCCUGGACAAGCUGUUCCAUAGCCGUGGGGCACAACCUGAAGACCUUCACACUCAACUUCACCAUUUCCACUCUCCAGUAUUCAACAGACAUGAGCAAGGUCUCAGUCACAUUCAACUCCAACGAGAAAGUCCAGUAGCACCUGAAGAGACCGGUCCCAACAGCUCCUGGUGGAAUGAGUCCCAGCCAGCUGCUCCCCACACUCUGUUCCUCCUGCUUGUCCUCCUCCUCCUUCCUCCCCAGCUUGGAUCCUUGUUCAAGAAGA